rnacentral:rRNA from 1 species
UACAGAGGUCCCGAGCGUUGUUCGGAUUCAUUGGGCGUAAAGGGUGCGUAGGCGGGUUUUUAAGUCAGAGGUGAAAUCCUGGAGCUCAACUCCAGAACUGCCUUUGAUACUGAAAGUCUUGAGUAUGGGAGAGGUGAGUGGAACUGCGAGUGUAGAGGUGAAAUUCGUAGAUAUUCGCAAGAACACCAGUGGCGAAGGCGGCUCACUGGCCCAUAACUGACGCUGAGGCACGAAAGCGUGGGGAGCAAACAGG